GAACUGCCAGAUCUGCUUGAACC
rnacentral:siRNA from 1 species